UCAACUUUCGCCACCGAGACGCUGCAGCAAUUACUUCAACCACACCGUCUUCAAGCUGGAGCAGGAGGAGUAUCGCUCCGAGGGCAUCAGCUGGCACAUGAUCGACUACAUGGACAACACGGCCUGCAUCAACCUCAUCAGCAAGAAACCCACCGCGCUGCUCCACCUGCUGGACGAGGAGUGAUUUUCCGCAGGCGUCUAAUCAGACUCUGCUGGAGAAGUUUAAGCGGCAGCACGAGGGAAACAUCUACAUCGAGUUCCCUGCCGUCAUGGAGCCAGCGUUCAUCAUCAGACACUACGCCGGCAAAGUUAAAUACAGCGUCAAGGUGAGAAGCUCACAGAGCCCAGCUCUUCUGCUACAGAGCGCUCUAGUGUGUGUGUGUGUGUGUGUGUGAGUGAGUGAGCAUUUGCAUACGUUACACACACAGUGACCUACUUCUGUGCUUUGAUCUGAUUGGUUGGAUCGGGUGUAUCUGGAGCACAUGUUUGGCAGAGAGGGUUAAAUCCACACACACACACACACACACACACACACGUAAAGCUG